rnacentral:rRNA from 1 species
GUGGGGAAUAUUGGACAAUGGGCGAAAGCCUGAUCCAGCCAUGCCGCGUGUGUGAAGAAGGUCUUCGGAUUGUAAAGCACUUUAAGUUGGGAGGAAGGGCAGUAAGUUAAUACCUUGCUGUUUUGACGUUACCGACAGAAUAAGCACCGGCUAACUUCGUGCCAGCAGCCGCGGUAAUACGAAGGGUGCAAGCGUUAAUCGGAAUUACUGGGCGUAAAGCGCGCGUAGGUGGUUUUGUAAGUUGGAGGUGAAAUCCCCGGGCUCAACCUGGGAACUGCCUCCAAAACUGCAUGACUAGAGUACGGUAGAGGGUAGUGGAAUGUCCUGUGUAGCGGUGAAAUGCGUAGAUAUAGGAAGGAACACCAGUGGCGAAGGCGACUACCUGGACUGAUACUGACACUGAGGUGCGAAAGCGUGGGGAGCAAACAGGAUUAGAAACCCGAGUAGUCC